ensembl:ncRNA lncRNA:CR44536 long non-coding RNA:CR44536
AUGUUUGAAAAACCGUUCGGAUCUGAUGUGAUGUGAUUUGAUACCCACCCAACCGGACCAAAGUCCGAAAGAACCACUUGGCGGACGAGGGGCUCGACCAGUUUUGUGACGUCUUCGGCCACUUGCAUCCGAGGAACAGAGUUAGCUGGAUUUGCUUUGGAUAUGGAUGGGGAUGGGGAUUUGGAAUGGAAUGGAAUUGGAAUGGCAUGGGAUGGGAUCGUUUCGGGCCUAAACACCGAGACGCAUUUGCCGAACUGCUUUUAACUGCUUUUCGUCGGCUGAGGUAGUUGAAUGGCCAAGAUUUACAUGAGACUGUUAGUUAACGACAUGGCGGGCAUAUUUAAUUAAUGCAACACGCUUCAUGCUUAAGUGCAUAUCUGCCUAGCUAACUCACUGACCUUUAGAAAAAUGGGCGUCGAUUUGGUGACUUUCCGCUUGGGGGGAAGUACCUGCUGAAUAUUUGGAGACCCCCUUUCUUUUUGCCACUACAUACUAGAUAUGUACAUACAUUUUACAUUUAUCAAUUUAUUGCGAUUUGAACUCUUUUUGAACUGACCGGCGCCGUUUCAGUUCAAAUUUAAAUUCAAACUGGGAAUACAUUUCAAUUAGAAUUAAACACCCACACUGGCGCACAGGAAUUGUAAACAAAUAAUUUUCUAUUAGCGGGAGAAAGAGUGUCAUUCCUGAUCAAAAUCGUACCAGAUCGAACUCGUUAUCGUUAUCCAAGUAAAACACCACAUAGCCAGCAAUUGAGGCGAGGCGACAAGUGUACAAAAAACGAAAGAUAUAAUCGUUUCCAUUAUUAAUUGGCGCACUUUUUGCCUUUGUGACUCGAGUUACUUAAAAAGUAAUAAAGGGUGAGACAAAUGGAAAUAUUUACACAUCACGCAAUCCCAAACUGGCCAAGAACCAGCAAUUAAACUUUUAUGUUUGUUUACAGCGCAUUUCACUUGGCUCAACUUGCCACAAUUAACAAUCGCCAUCGAGGGAUAUGCAAAGGAGUUGGAAAAUACCGGAUAUUUUCCGGCCAUUCGUGGAGCGUCUUCUGCAGAAUUGAAAAUGAAUCUUCGCAUAUGAAUCAGAGCGUUUCAAUUCCCUGAAAUUAAUUGAUAGCAAUUUAGGAAACGGUUUGGCAAACAUUUAUACACGAUUUUCAAUUAAACGUUUCCUCAAGCUUAUUUUACUUAUACCCAUCAUAUUUUUAUAUACAUUUACUU